ACUCAAAGGAAUUGACGGGGACCCGCACAAGCGGUGGAACAUGUGGUUUAAUUCGAAGCUACGCGAAGAACCUCACCAGGGCUUGACAUACAGGAAGUAGUGAACCGAAAGGGGAACAAACUGUUAAGUCAGUAGCCUGUACAGGUGCUGCAUGGCUGUCGUCAGCUCGUGUCGUGAGAUGUUGGGUUAAGUCCCGCAACGAGCGCAACCAUUGCCCUAUGUUGCUAAUAUAUCUUCAACCGUAAGGUUUGGAUGUAAGCACUCUUAGGGGACUGCCUGGGAUAACCAGGAGGAAGGUGGAGAUGACGUCAAGUCAGUACGGCCUUUAUGCCCUGGGCUACACACGUGUUACAAUGGCUGGUACAAAGGGUUGCCAACCCGCGAGGGGGAGCUAAUCUCAAAAAACCAGUCCCAGUUCGGAUUGAAGUCUGCAAUUCGACUUCAUGAAGCCGGAAUCGCUAGUAAUGGAAGAUCAGCUCGCUUCCGUGAAUACGUUCCCGGGUCUUGCACACACCGCCCGU
rnacentral:rRNA from 1 species